rnacentral:rRNA from 1 species
UGCAGUCGAGCGCGCCUUCGGGCGAGCGGCGGACGGGUUAAUAACGCGUGGGAACGUGCCCUUCACUACGGAAUAGCCUCGGGAAACCGGGAGUAAUACCGUAUACGCCCUUCGGGGGAAAGUUUUUCGGUGAAGGAUCGGCCCGCGUUGGAUUAGGUAGUUGGUGGGGUAACGGCCUACCAAGCCGACGAUCCAUAGCUGGUUUGAGAGGACGAUCAGCAACACUGGGACUGAGACACGGCCCAGACUCCUACGGGAGGCAGCAGUGGGGAAUCUUAGACAAUGGGGGAAACCCUGAUCUAGCCAUGCCGCGUGAGUGAAGAAGGCCCUAGGGUCGUAAAGCUCUUUCGCCAGGGAUGAUAAUGACAGUACCUGGUAAAGAAACCCCGGCUAACUCCGUGCCAGCAGCCGCGGUAAUACGGAGGGGGUUAGCGUUGUUCGGAAUCACUGGGCGUAAAGCGCGCGUAGGCGGAUUAUUAAGUCAGGGGUGAAAUCCCGGGGCUCAACCCCGGAACUGCCCUUGAUACUGGUAGUCUUGAGUUCGAGAGAGGUGAGUGGAAUUCCGAGUGUAGAGGUGAAAUUCGUAGAUAUUCGGAGGAACACCAGCGGCGAAGGCGGCUCACUGGCUCGAAACUGACGCUGAGGCGCGAAAGUGUGGGGAGCAAACAGGAUUAGAUACCCUGGUAGUCCACACCGUAAACGAUGAAUGCCAGACGUCGGAGGGCUUGCCCUUCGGUGUUGCACCUAACGGAUUAGGCAUUCCGCCUGGGGAGUACGGUCGCAAGACUAAAACUCAAAGGAAUUGAC